GUAGCCUUGCGCAUUCGAGGUUCUUCGGCAUUUGCCGAAGCUAAGAAGGGAACGCGGUCGAUGCCGCGGCUGCCCCCGCAACUGUGAACGGUGAUGUUCGCUGCCACGCCACUGCAAACCCUGUGCAACGGGUUCGCGGGAAGGCGCAGCAAACGCCAGUCCAACGACUGGCACACCGUCAGCCAGGAGACCUGCCUCGACACAGAUUCUCAC
rnacentral:ncRNA from 2 species